AUUGAAGGGACACAGAAGGCUGGCACCAUCUAACCACUCUAGCAGCAUUGACUUACUGAUGGGCUAAAACUCUCCCUGCUCCCUCCCAACCAGCUGCAGGCUUCUUUUGAAGGACACUAAUGGACUAUUUUGGAACUAUCAUUCUAUAUAUAUAUAUUCCAGCAGUGAAGUGCUACCACAGGUUCAGAGAUUCAGCCACUGAAUCUCUUCCAA